rnacentral:rRNA from 1 species
GAUUCCCCUAGUAACUGCGAGUGAAGCGGGAAAAGCUCAAAUUUAAAAUCUGGCGGUCUUUUGGCUGUCCGAGUUGUAAUCUAGAGAAGUGUUAUCCGCGCUGGACCGUGUACAAGUCUCCUGGAAUGGAGCAUCAUAGAGGGUGAGAAUCCCGUCUUUGACAUGGACUGCCAGGGCUUUUGUGAUGCGCUCUCAAAGAGUCGAGUUGUUUGGGAAUGCAGCUCAAAAUGGGUGGUAAAUUCCAUCUAAAGCUAAAUAUUGGCGAGAGACCGAUAGCGAACAAGUACCGUGAGGGAAAGAUGAAAAGAACUUUGGAAAGAGAGUUAAACAGUACGUGAAAUUGCUGAAAGGGAAACGCUUGAAGUCAGUCGCGUCGUCCAGGGAUCAACCUUGCUUUUGCUUGGUGCACUUUCUGGUUUGACGGGUCAGCAUCAAUUUUGACCAUUGGAAAAAGAUCAAGGGAAUGUGGCAUCUUUGGAUGUGUUUAUAGCCCUUGGUCACAUACAAUGGUUCGGGAUUGAGGAACUCAGCAUGCCGCAAGGCCGGGUGUUUACACCACGUACGUGCUUAGGAUGUUGACAUAUAUAAUGGCUUUAAUCGACCCGUCUUGAAACACGGACCAAGGAGUCUAACAUGCCUGCGAGUGUUUGGGUGGAAAACCCGAGCGCGUAAUGAAAGUGAAAAGUUGAGAUCCCUGUCGUGGGGAGCAUCGACGCCCGGAUCA